GUGAAGGUUCAUGUAUAUGUCCUGAGGGAGGAGUAGCUGCAAACAAAAUGGGGUGAACUAUUUCACUGACACUGUAAGACACUGAGGUAGAAAGAGAGUCCUUCACAGGAGAAUCUCUUGGGAUGACCUCUAUGACGGCAUAAAGCAGCAGUAAAAAUUCAGAGAAGAAGCAAAUAGUACACCAAAUAGAGUGGCUGAGUUCUCCAAGUCUACGUUCGUGAUCCAAUAUUUCACUUUUCAGCUUCAUUAUUUUCCUUUGGAAUUUCAGGUAGGGGGGCUGACAGUAAAUCUGGG
rnacentral:lncRNA from 1 species